UGCCUUCCGGUCAAUGGGGCAUAAUAACUUCAGUGACCCGAAGGAAUCCCUUCCGGUCGAUGGUGAUGAGGUGUAACAGCCUCAUCAACUGGAAGGGAUUCCUUCCAGUCAAUGGUGUUGUUGUUUCUCAUUGACUGGAAGGGA
rnacentral:miRNA from 1 species